GGAUGAAGGAGGAGAGACACAGGGUGGGGGAGGGAAGAGAGGGAGACCCAGGCGACCUCCAGGCCCCUGCCUGCCUCCAGCUGCCACAGAGGCCCUGCAGGCUGGGAGGCGCCAGCCUGGGCCACACGCGUGCUUAGCUUGUUUUCAGUCUCCUGCUCCAUCUGUCACAGCGAGAGAACUCCGCAAGUGCGUCGCCCCCGCCGCCCCGCAAGCGCUCUGCAGGGGUGAGGUGACUCAUCCGCUGCCACAGCCCUGCGAUCCAGGCAGAACGUUCACGCGUCAUGAGUUCCCCUCCAGAGGCCACAGACUGUGGGCACGGGCCUCAAGGGGGUGAGAGUGCGGCCGAGAGACUCAGGCUUGGCCUUGGAACAUGGCUUGACUCGCACAGCACACUAGAUUAAAUCUGGACUCUGGAGACUAAACUAUCAGUGGCCAAGCCCCAGUGAAGACACGCUACAUAGGAACGAAUGGGGCCUCUGGCUUUUUUGGGGGAAAGUCCCUCAAAACACUAACUUCGAUUUAUUUGGUUCUGGGCUCUGCCACUAUCCCUCUGUGAGUCCUCAAGAAAUUACUUCAGCUACCUGGUCUCCUCAGUUUCCUCAAAGCAGUGAGAAGCCUUAGCUUAGAAUAACCUGAGGAAAGCUGCCUGCUUGAUUCUGGACAGCUGUGUGGGAGCCACCGCUCGGUUGGUCCGCGGCGGGAGUCGGCACAGACCUCCUCUUCCCGACAGAGGCGAGCAGACUGGCUCCUGGCGACGUGUUCCAGCAGCCCUGAGGCCAGGCCUGGCCCCAGCAGGCGGUGGAUGUGCAGCUGGAACGCGUGAGUCGAGAUGAAUGUGCUCCAGAGGGAGGCAGAGCAGUGAGGCUAAAAAGGCUUUGAGGUUGAUCAAACCUGGACUGGACUCUCAGUCCUGCUGUUUCCUGGUGGUGUGACCUUGGGCAAGUCACUAGCACUCUCUGAGCCUCCGUUUCUUCAUCAGCAAAAUGAAGAUAACACCAGUGACUCCAGAGGAGUGUGUGAGGAUCAGAAAUAAUGUACGUGAAGCACACAGGAUGGGGCCUGGAGCUUACUAGAUGCUCGAUAAAUGGAAGCCGACUUCGCUCCUGGACCAGUGCUCUUGUAGGGGAGGGAACAAUGUCUUCCCCCAACCCUUCUGGGUUCUUUGUCUGAGCUUUAAAUUGACAUAAAACAGAUAAUCAGGAAAAAAAUAUUCUUAAUUGUGUGCACCCCGCAAAACCUGAGACUCAAAGAAAGGCCAGAUGAUUGAAGCUUAUAUAUAGCAUCCUGAGCUACAGAAAGGAACAGGGGCUUGGGACUUCAGGGCUGGGGGUAGGGGUGACACAAUUAUGGGAGACUGAAAGAAGGAAUGUAUGAUGACUAAAAGUUGUCUUAUUAUGUAGGUGAGAAAAGUUGUCUCCGAGCAGCCUCUUCCUGGUACAGAUAGUUUCACCAAUGUAGAUUUCCUUUAUAGAUGUAAAUUUCCUUUACAAAAGGACAGCUUUUCCAAGCUACUCCUGUGUCUGCAGUUUCUCAGAAACCAGCUUGAAAUAUGCCAAAGAAGUCUAUUUUGCCAUGGCAUAUUCUGGUCUCCUCCAGUCAUAUUUUGGGGUGGUAUAUCCUGAGCCCCAACCCACUUUAAUUAUUUUCAAAAUUAAAAUGCCAUAUCCUAGCCCAGUGUCAGUUGUAGCAAUACCACUCAUUCUCCUGGCUCACCCACUGAUGUGAGGCUGAGGGUAGAAAAUUGGCAAAGAAGCCACGGGCUCUGGCAGCUCAGCUCAACCUCUGUAUACUUCUUUAAUUUGACAGUGAGUUUGUCUUGAUUAUGAAAAUUUCUUGCCCGUCUCUAAUUUCUCCUGGGGCAACCACCUUAUCAGUAAGAGCCUGGGGCCAGGCAGAGUUCAAAUCUUGGCUCCAACAUUGACACACACAUCUGUAACUUUGGACACAUUGCUUUUCCUUCCUUGUGCCUCAGUUUUCUCAUCUGUACAAUAGGGAUAAGACACCAGUACCUAUCUUUAUGCUAGUAACAAUUAGAGUAGUUGAGAGAUUUAGCUAGCUAGUGCAUAUAAAGCCCUUGGCAUAGGGCCUGGGAUAUGCAAAACACUUAAUAAAUGUCGGCUGGUGUUGUGAUUAUUGGGGACCUCCAAAUUCACCCCAUCCCUUACUGAGUUGAGCAGACCCACAGGCCCAGGGGGGCAGGACCACCAUGGCUGCUACUACCCGCAGUGUUGGCCCCACAGCCUGGAGGGGAGGCCUCUCAACCUGAGACCUUUCUUCUGACUCUCACGAUGGUGCUCCGUUGGGUUUGGCUGGAAACUAUUCCCAUUUUGUAGAUGAGAAAGCUGAGGCCCGGGGAGGGUGCCUCGCUUCCUCAAGAUCUGAGUGGCAGUCUGCGGCAGGCGGGACUGAGCCCAGGGUCUCCUGACUCCAUGUUUGGUGCCCUUCCUAUAUCACCCUCAGAGAAUGAAGAGGAAGGGCUGGGCUGGCCGAGGAAGAGGAGGGGAGCUUCCUCAAACCCAGCUCCUGCGGAGGCCGGAAGGGCCUCUGACACUCCGUCCCCGGCCUCCACCGCUCCCACCUGUCUGCCAGGAGGCCUCUGACGGAGACAUGAAAAAUGAGCCGCUAAAUGCAUUAUGACUCGUGAGGCUGUCGUAAUAAUUAAGUUUUAUUAAAACGAACACCAAGGAAUUUCCUGACAUGGCCUGCCUGGCGGAGCUCAUCCAAAGGUGAUAAAUGAGUGGGUUCUGGGGAGAGAGAGGACUGGAGGAAGGAGCAGGGACGGGGACAGGCCUCGGGGUGGAGGCAGUGGAGGAGGCCCGAGCAGCCAGCCUGGUGCGCGGCCUCCGCUUCCCUGCUUUGGCCUUGCAGAUGGAGUGCUGAGCCCAGCCUUCAACAGAGCAGACUUCAACCCCAGCCGGGCCACUGCUGAUGGUGGCAGCUUGCCCCCCGCCCGGGCCUCCUUCCUCCCUGAGCUGCGAAGGGGGUGGCUCUGAGCAAACUACUCUUGCCCCUGGAGGAAGGGGGUGGCCGGCUAUCCCUUUGGGAAACCUGGCCAUUGUGUCUGCAGACACUCACCAAGAUCCUCGCCAAACUCACAGCGCUGUCUUCUGGGCAAGGCACUGGAAUUGGGGAGAGGGUUAUUAGAGCAGUUCUGUUAUUUUGAUUUUCUACAAUAAGCAUCAAUUGCUUUUUGUGCAGAAAAAAACGAGCUGUUCUACCCCGCACACAUUCUGGAGUGCCUGACCGAGGGUCACUUCAAUGCAGAGGGCACAAGAUCCUGCCCCGGGGGAGCCCACGGUGGUCUGACGGAGAAGGGGGUUACGACAGUUCUGUGACAGGGGUGUCAAUGGCGCUGGGCCUGCGUCAAGGGCUAUGGCAGAGGUAAGCCCAGAGUGACUGGAGAGGGGCACAGGGAGGACUUCAGAAGAGGCUAUCCGGGCAAGGGUCACCUGAGCUGAGUUUUGGAGAGGAAUUGGACAGCUUGGUGGAAGGCAGGAGGGAGGGAAAGCCCAGAGGCACGGAUAAGCACUGGGAAUUCAGAGACCCAAGCUGGUUCUAUAGGGAUCCGAUAGCAUCUCUGAUGGGCUCUUCCCAUUUCCACACAAGGCUGUCUAUUCUACCGGCUGCUGCGCUGAUAACUUUGACCUCAUUCAAUAGCCCAGAAGAAUGGCAUUCCGGACCUUACCAGAAAAUACAAUCUUGAGCCUCUGUUAACCCUAUCUCCUAUUAGGAAAAAAGAAAGAAAAAAGCUGUGUUGAAGGAAUUGUUAUUUAUGGAGGAUUAAGAAGGACAUUCAUUCUGCAGGAGGCUGGGUUUCAUCCUUCAAUCAAGAAAGGUCAUCAGAAAAUGUGUAGUCAAGAAAAAAGAGAUCAAUAGAACAGAAUGGAGAGGCCAGAAAUAGACCCGGAUAUGGACGGAACUUCAGUGCCAGGAACUUGCAUUUUUAUUUUGUACUGAGCUCAACAAAUUACGUAGUGGUCCUGUCUUUGAGCCAUGCCAGAGCUGAUGCUGUGAAACAGUUAUCCACAUCUCUCCGGAGCCGGGACGAGGCAUCUGGGCUGGAGAUACGCCAAGUGUGAGUCAUCUGCAUUUAGGCGGUCGCUGGAGCGCCGGGAGGGAUGCGCUCUCUUCAGGAAAUGCUCUGGGGGACAAGAGGACAACUGAGGAGGAGUUUUCAGGUCCGCACAGGUGUGCCGUCUAGGUAGGAGAGGAUAUGAGAGUAGAAGUUGACAGAGUAGCAGGAGAAGGCAGGAGAAUUUGGAAAACCCAUGGGAGGGAGUGUAUCAAGAAAGAGAGCCAAGUGUCAAAAGCCAGAGAUCGAGAGAAAUGAGAGCUGAGAAACCUGUAGUGGGUUUGGUAACAUGGAGUUCAUUGGCACUUUCAGGAAGUGCCAUUUUUGUUUACUGGGUGGAGAGAGAGGACGUUGUGGACACAGAGAUAAGUUUGCUCUUGCUCUGGGGUGGGGGGGAUGAGGUUAUACCCUAAAGAGGUGAGGGGUGAGGAAGGAAGGAAUUUUAAUCUUUAUUUUUUUUUAGAAACAUGGACAUGUUGCUAAGAUUUGUUGUUAAUCAAAAAAGCAGUACAGAAUAUUAGAUGCAGAAUAAACUUUGUGUACAAAUGAGGGGAAGGCAGAUUAUAUGUGUACACAAUGAAAAUUUCUGGGGAAAAACACAAGAAGCUUGUCAUAAUUACCUAUGGAGAACAGGCCAGGGGGCUUCAGCUUUUUCUCACUAUACUGGUUGAUUUUAAAGUCAUAACUGUAUUUUAAAAAUAAUAAAAAAAGAUUCAUUUUAUGCUGUCAAGAGCAGCUCUUGGACGCCACAAUUAUUGAUUAAAGAUUUCUUUGGUUCUCAAAAUUAACAUUCAAUUUAUUAAAGUUACAAAUUCACACACACCCACCUUCUUCUAUAAGCUUUGAAAUUCAGCUUACAAAUCUUAUUAUUUAUUUAUGAGUCUAGCAAAUUUUAACAAUCACUUUUA